ACGAACGCUGGCGGCGUGGAUAAGACAUGCAAGUCGAGCGGGACAUUUCGGGUAGCAAUAUUCGAGAUGUCUAGCGGCGAAAGGGUGCGUAACACGUGGGUAAUCUGCCAUGAAGUUUGGAAUAACUCGCUGAAAGGCGAGCUAAUACCGGAUGUGAUCAUUGAGGGACAUCCUUUGAUGAUUAAAGUUGGGGACCGUAAGGCCUGACGCUUCAUGAUGAGCCCGCGGCCUAUCAGCUAGUUGGUGAGGUAACGGCUCACCAAGGCUAAGACGGGUAGCUGGUCUGAGAGGACGACCAGCCACACUGGAACUGAGACACGGUCCAGACACCUACGGGUGGCAGCAGUCGAGAAUUUUUCACAAUGGGGGAAACCCUGAUGGAGCGACGCCGCGUGGGGGAUGAAUGGCUUCGGCCCGUAAACCCCUGUCAUUCGGGAUCAAUGCCUGCGGCAUAAUACGUUGCAGGUUGAUAGUACCGGAAGAGGAAGGGACGGUUAACUCUGUGCCAGCAGCCGCCGCGG
rnacentral:rRNA from 1 species